rnacentral:rRNA from 1 species
UACAGAGGGUGCGAACGUUGCUCGGAAUUACUGGGCGUAAAGCGCGUGUAGGCGGGGCCGCAAGUCAGAUGUGAAAUCCCCGGGCUCAACCCGGGAACUGCAUCUGAAACUGCGGUCCUUGAGUACUGGAGAGGGUGGCGGAAUUCCUGGUGUAGAGGUGAAAUUCGUAGAUAUCAGGAGGAACACCGGUGGCGAAGGCGGC